rnacentral:rRNA from 1 species
CCUACGGGAGGCAGCAGUGAGGAAUAUUGGUCAAUGGCCGAGAGGCUGAACCAGCCAAGUCGCGUGAGGGAAGACGGCCCUACGGGUUGUAAACCUCUUUUGUCGGGGAGCAAAGCGAGUCACGUGUGACUCAUUGAGAGUACCCCCAGAACAAGCAACGGCUAACUCCGUGCCAGCAGCCGCGGUAAGACGGAGGAUGCGAGCGUUAUCCGGAUUUAUUGGGUUUAAAGGGUGCGCAGGCGGAGGGGCAAGUCAGCGGUCAAAUUGCGGGGCUCAACCCCGUACUGCCGUUGAAACUGCAGCCCUUGAGUGCGCGAGAAGUAUGCGGAAUGCGUGGUGUAGCGGUGAAAUGCAUAGAUAUCACGCAGAACUCCGAUUGCGAAGGCAGCAUACCGGCGCGCAACUGACGCUCAUGCACGAAAGCGUGGGUAUCGAACAGGAUUAGAUACCCCGGUAGUC